AUUGAACGCUGGCGGCAGGCCUAACACAUGCAAGUCGAGCGGAGCGGCGAAAGGGUGAGUACGGACGAGGAAUCUGCCUGGUAGUGGCGGAUCCAGUACGGAGACGGGCGCUAAUACCGCAUACUAUAAGAUGAGUCUAGGUUGGAUUAGAUGGUUGGUGGGGUAAAGGCCUACCAAGGCGACGAUCCGUAACUGGUCUGAGAGGAUGAUCAGUCACACUGGGACUGAGACACGGCCCAGACUCCUACGGGAGGCAGCAGUGGGGAAUAUUGGGCAAUGGGCGAAAGCCUGAUCCAGCCAUGCCGCGUGGGUGAAGAAGGUCUUCGGAUUGUAAAACACUGUAAGUUGGGAAGCGUUACCAACCGAAUAAGCACCGGCUAACUUCGUGCCAGCAGCCGCGGUAAUAC
rnacentral:rRNA from 1 species